UACCCAUAAGAGGGGGAUAACAUCCGGAAACGGGUGCUAAUACCGCAUAGUUUUCUUGAUCGCAUGAUCGGGAAAGGAAAGACGGCCUUUGUGCUGUCGCUUAUGGAUGGACCCGCGGCGUAUUAGUUAGUUGGUGAGGUAACGGCUCGACCAAGACGAUGAUACGUAGCCGACCUGAGAGGGUGAUCGGCCACAUUGGGACUGAGACACGGCCCAAACUCCUAUGGGAGGCAGGCAGUAGGGAAUCUUCCGGCAAUGGACGAAAGUCUAGACGGAGCAACGCCGCGUGAGUGAAGAAGGUUUUUCCGGAUCGUAAAACUCUGUUGUCAGAGAAGAACAAGUUGGAGAGUAACUGCUCCAGCCUUGACGGUAUCUGACCAGAAAGCCACGGCUAACUACGUGCCAGCCGCAGC
rnacentral:rRNA from 1 species